GACGAACGCUGGCGGCGUGCCUAAUACAUGCAAGUCGAGCGAACCCGGGGUGCUUGCACCCUGAGGGUUAGCGGCGGACGGGUGAGUAACACGUGGGGAACCUGCCUUGCUGUCUGGGAUAACACCGGGAAACCGGUGCUAAUACCGGAUGUCCCCUUUCCGGCACCUGCCGGAGAGGGAAAAGGCGGCUUUGAGCCGCCGCACCAAGAGGGGCCCGCGGCGCAUUAGUUAGCUGGCAGGGUAACGGCCUCCCAAGGCGACGAUGCGUAGCCGACCUGAGAGGGUGAUCGGCCACACUGGGACUGAGACACGGCCCAGACUCCUACGGGAGGCAGCAGUAGGGAAUCAUCCGCAAUGGACGAAAGUCUGACGGUGCAACGCCGCGUGAGUGAUGAAGGUUUUCGGAUCGUAAAGCUCUGUUGUGAGGGAAGAAUAGGAUGGGGCGGAAAUGCCCGAUCUGUGACGGUACCUCACCAGAAAGCCCCGGCUAACUACGUGCCAGCCGCCGCGGUAA
rnacentral:rRNA from 1 species